GGAGAUAUAGUUCAAUUGGUAGAGUAUUUGCCUUGCAUGCACAAGGCCCUGGGUUCAAUCCCUAGCACCGCCA
rfam:Ictidomys tridecemlineatus contig010804, whole genome shotgun sequence.